rnacentral:rRNA from 1 species
AUGAGACAUGCUUUCCCAAUGUCGCACAAUCCCAACAUUUACUCCGAACAAGAUAUUCUUGUUUAUUUAUCCCUACAAACAACAAAAAUGCUUGCUCUGGUGCGACUGUGUAACUAUUUGUGCUCAUUCUUUUCUGAAAAAGGGGAUAACUCCGGCCUCAACUAUUUGUGUACGGUGCAGAAGCGAAAGUACAGGCUUGCUAAAUGGGUCAUGUUGUGCAGGCCUAAGGAUCAAGGUGGGUUGGGCAAUGAAAACCUAAAAAAAUUGUUGAUUCGGCAAAUGACUACCAAUGAUUCCCAUGGAGGUCGAUCAAUUUAA